rnacentral:rRNA from 1 species
AGCAGCCGCGGUAAUUCCAGCUCCAAUAGCGUAUAUUAAAGUUGUUGCAGUUAAAAAGCUCGUAGUUGAAUUUCGGGACUAAUAUGUCGGUCGUGCCUCGGUACGAACUGGUUUAUUGGUUUCUCCUUUCUGAAGAACCAUGAUGUCAUUUAUUUGGUGUCGUGGGGAAUCAGGACUGUUACUUUGAAAAAAUUAGAGUGUUUAAAGCAGGCUCACGCUUGAAUACAUUAGCAUGGAAUAAUGAAAUAGGACGUUUGAUUCUAUUUUGUUGGUUUCUAGGAUCGACGUAAUGAUUAAUAGGGAUAGUUGGGGGCAUUAGUAUUCAAUUGUCAGAGGUGAAAUUCUUGGAUUUAUUGAAGACUAACUACUGCGAAAGCAUUUGCCAAGGAUGUUUUCAUUAAUCAAGAACGAAAGUUAGGGGAUCGAAGACGAUCAGAUACCGUCGUAGUCUUAACCAUAAACUAUGCCGACUAGGGAUCAGAUGAUGUUAAUUUUUUAAUGACUCAUUCGGCGCCUUACG